rfam:Trametes pubescens strain FBCC735 TRAPTBscaffold_1723, whole genome shotgun sequence.
GGUACUAUAGUGUAGUGGUUAUCACUCGGGAUUUUGAUUACAACGUCUUCCCGGAACCCAGGUUCGAACCCUGGUAGUACCU